GCUGCAAAAGAGAGUCAAACGACGUGACAUAACUAUAAACACAGUCGUCUUCAUAUCUCUGUGAUCUAUGAUCUGUGUCUUGGCCCACUUGGAAAAAGAGAGGCACUGCCAGAAGGACAGACGCAACUGUUUUUCCCGCCAUUACGAAAUCAGCGUAGCGAAUCCACCAGCAGCAGCAGCAGCAGCAGCAGAGAGAAAUGUAAACAAAUGAGAAACUGGAACGAGUGGCAUCUGGUGGUAGAAUGAAAUUCGCAAUAAUGUGAGCCAAAAAAAAAAAACCAAAAAACCCGACACGCCCUUUCGAUUGAGCAACAGCUGAAGAAAGUAAAGUGAGAUCGUCAUCGAAUCGUGAAGAAAAAGUGAGCAGACACUCGGAGUAGUGUAGUAGGUCGUGACUGUGCAGAUGUUAACGAGAUGGGAGGGUCACAAACAAAACAAAAUGUAAGCUGUUGCUCGCUGGCGGAUGCGCGUAAUCACGAAGCUCAAAACACAAUGGCCGCUUCAAACAACGACUGAAUAUAAAACAAAAAUAUCAUAAAAAAAAAAGUACAAAAAUAGCAAGAAAAAAACUAUUAAAAUCGAGUGGAAGAGAAAUCCUCCACAAUGCGAAUUGCUCAUUAAAGUUGGAAAUAGAUACAAUUAUUACGCCGUACGAUAGAUUUACGAUCUCAAGAACAAUAGGGCACUCUUUUAAUGUCGCAGAUAUUCCUCGACGACAACAAAAAGAUACGCCAAGCACCUCGUUAUAUUUCGGCCAACUUCUGUCUCUGUUUACCUUUGGCGGUCGUCAAGGUGAUCUAAGCGAAUCGCGAGUCCUUGUCAAUACAACCACAAAUAAAACUACGGCAAUGAUUGAAUAGUUUGCCGGAUCGAUGGAAAUCAAUGUCGUGUUUUUUUCCCGCUACUCGAUUACGAAUACGGUAGGAGUAACGGGAACUGUUUCGGUACAGUAAACAAAAAGAAUGAAAUGAGGUCGAAAACUUCAUCUCGGCCCAUUUCCAUCCAUCAUGCAAGAAUAAUUAUAGCGAAUAAUCAACGAGAUUUGAUGUUUGUGUGUGUGUACAGGUGUGGAUCAUCCCCAAACAAAAAAAACAGCCACUCUUUUUCUUGUUGACUAAUGGAAAAAAAAAGGGCUAAACAGAAAAUGGCACUUUGUCACGCCGGAAGAAGGAGUGAAAAGGUCCUUGACGGAACUCACUAGAGCUUUACAGGUUCCCGAUGCGAAGGCGAAUGUAAUCAGUCGGAUACGCGGAAGUCAAUUAAAAAAUAAAACAAGGUUGCCAUCCAAACCCAAAAAACACCUGUUUUUCUUGAAAAACAUUUCUAUUGGCAAAAAAUGGAAACUCGCCUCCCCCCCUGUCGUUUUCUUUAUCGUUCCCCUCCCCCCGCCAAGGUUAAUAGUGACAUUGAUAACUUUUUUUCCGUUUCUUCGAACGUGCACUGGGAAAAGAAGAAAAAGAAGAAAAACAAGAAAAACAAAAGAGUCGUAAUGAGACGACGUAUGCAAUGGGCCAUUGAUUGGAGCCACUGAUUUAGACGAAUGCACGAAUGCAACAGGUUUCUGGGUCACCUUUGAAUGCCAACCAAAGCAUAAAAACGUGAAUGCCAAAAUGGCCGCACAUGUGCAGGCAAAAGGCAAUUGGGCAAUUGGGCAAGAAAAAUCGUUGACCAGCUGCGACAAUCAAUGGUUAACUGGCUGUUAACAGCUUCGAAAACAGUUAACGGAGAGAAGAGUGGCGUUGUUACUUCUAGACGACCUCAUCGUUAAUGUGUAUCAAUAAAAAAAUGAAAUGAUGCCGUUAGAAUUGCAUCCGCAAACGAGACACACAAUCAUGACCCAAAUGUUGCUUCGUUUAUACCUGUCGACAUUCUUUUGUUUUCGGCUCAGUUAAGACCAAAGAUUUUCAACACGAUUGAGAAAUGGGGGAAAAGUGGCAACACAAGUUGCAUUUUCUUUCCAGCACAACCCCUCCCCCACUCCUUCGAAAAAAAAAAAAACUGGUUCCGUACUGGUUAAGAAAAACGUUAAAAAAAAAACAAAAGAAAAACAAGAAAAUAGAAAUCCGUUAGAAUAACAUUAGUAUUAUAACUACAGGCCGUUAGUUUCGUUCCAUCACAUGCAAAUGGACGUAGCAGCAGUCACCAGUGUAACUCGACAUUUGUUUGAAAGCAAACUCACCUGUUUGUAGGGGAUUCUUCGUUUGUUUGGUGUUUCUCCUCUUCCAAAGUGCAGUUGUUCAGUUCACUUCACUCGAUGCUCAAGAUUUCACUGUUGUUCAAUCACUAUUCGGCUGUUCAAGCCAAAAAACCACGAAAGAAAAACAAGAAACUGUUAAGUAAAAUUACUGGUGGUUGAAAUCUGAAUUUAAAAAAAACAACUUAAAAAAACAAAAACAAAAUUCGAUUGAAAAAGAAAAAGAAAAUAAAACUGGAUCAAUGGGAAAAACUCUCGUCUUACAUUCAAAACUGCUGGAGAAAGGUACACACACAAACACACCAAAAAAAAAAGAGAAAAUUGUUUUUUAAAAAGAGAAAGAGAGAAAUAAAAAGAGAACUCGUUUCUCGGCGUGUCUGGGCUGAACGCAACCGGCAAAGUGACUGGUCUGUUCAACCCAACGUGCCACCAACUUUAUGAUAUUUGCCUCUCUCUUCCUACGCCGUACCUCCACCACCACCACGACACCACCACCACCAACAGAAAAAAAGAAAAAAAAAAAAAGCUUUUUUUCUUUCUCUUCCUUCUAUUCGCUGUAGGACACAACAGGUAUUCAGCCUCAGGGCUCACAUUGGACCUCCUCUCUUUUCUGCCUUGUCGUCUACUUCCUUUUUCGUCCAUUUCGUUCCUUCCAAUCUCUUUCGUUUCUUUCCUAUACCCUUCUGCCACACACACACACACACCCUGUUAGGCAGGUACCAACAGACACACAAACAAAAUGAUUCAUAUUCGCUGCUGGACUAUCACAUUACGCGUCGUGGCGUCGAUGUUUGUUUGUUUCGUUUGGCCACAGCGGCAACGGUUGUCGUUUUAAUUGCAUCGUCAUCGUUGUCUGAAAAAAACAAAACGAAGGUGGCGAGCAAUUGCCGAAGAAAAAGAAAGAAAGAAAGAAAACCUUGGGAACGACGGGAUGGACGUCGAUUCAAACUGAUGUCCUUUGGCUUAAUUGGCUACACUCAAUUUGACUAGAAAUUGCGACAGCUGCGCAGCACAGGCCCCACCCAACGAUUGGGUUUGGUUUAUGCGCGUCCACAUGCCAUCCAUGACGGAUGAAAGGCGGCAAUUGCUCGAUGGAUCAGUGGCCAAUAACUUUGCAUAGAAUAGACGAAAGUAGAGCGAAGACUGGCGGCUGUGCGUUUCGACUCGACCAGUCGCGGGGAUUUUUAUUCGAAAAAACCAAACAAAAAACCCAUUUCUAUUCAAUGGCUGCCACACACACACAACGAAACCUGCGGGAGUGAAACUUGGCCGCAACUUUUCCUUUUUUUUCUUGCAGAGUGACUCACGGGGCUAAUCAAAUGAGCCAAUCAAAAGAGAGUCGAAUGAAUUUCAAAAGUCGUUUAAACACUAAACAAAACUAGAGAAGGCAGACGCAUUAAAGUAAGGGAAUUGCAUCCAUCGCUUAUCGAUCACGUCGGUCACGAAGAUGUUCUCCAAAAGCUGCGUGAGUCAUCAACGUCCCGUCAAGAGCGUCGACGUGUGCGUCCCUGUCAUUAAACAUCGCUGAUGCCUUUCCAAUUCAAACAAAAGAGCAUCGCAAAGAUCUGCAGCUGCACUCGUAAUUGGAGCAAAAAGCUAAACACGUUUUUUUUUUUUAAGUUUUCCCCGCUUUCAAAGCUUUUCCAUUUCAGCGUUUUUUGUUUGUGAAUAAAUUAGUUGUUGCUGGAAAAUGGAAAAAGGAAAAAGAAAAACAAAGAAAAAAAAACACAUCGUUCACUUUCUGCCCAACAUUUCGGUCGGUUCAAAAAAACAAAUGAAUUGGGUUGCGAGUGCGCGCGAAAGGAAAAAAAUGCGUUUGCCCAAAAGACAACAGGGAAAAGAAAAAUAAAAAGGGGAAACGAGCGGUUGAGUCGGUUUUCUCUUUCCGUUUGGCCAUUGAAAAUUCGUCAACGCCUAACGAAUUUUCGCUUUUCUUCUUCUUGCCGUGCACGACGUCCAAAUACAAAUGAAACAAGAAAAUAAUGGAGGUGAACGUUACACGCUUUCGCGAUCUGCUCUUUCCCAACCCCCUCCCCAUUUCGUGACAAAUUUUGUCUUUUGAUUCGACGACAAAUCAAAGACCCGUCACGCGCCAUUUUAUUUAAAUUUUAUUUUCUCAGCUUGCAUCGCAAAAUGCAGAGAUUUCAACGAGUCUUUGGGGUGUCGAGCGGCGUUUGGCCAACGGACGCGCACACAAAUGACAGAUGACGAAGUGCGGGUCGGCCAUCAUUUGCAUAACAGUCGGACAUCCUCUUUUGCAUCACUUGCCGCUAAUCAUUUCGAAAACAAUUUCAACACAAGAAUUUUGCCACACACUUCAGAAUUCGUUCUUUCCCGAUUACAUCAAAGAGGAAAAAAUGAAAACGAGACGCCAAUCAUUUCAACCCGCAUUGACCCAAAAGACCCGACAGAGGCGCGCAUCGGCAAUCAUCGAUACGAGUGCACGUGAUUUUUUAUUAUUAUGAUUUCUCGUUGCAAGUAUCACGCACCUUCUUCAUCGUUGCGUCAAGGGGAAAAAAGAAAAACGGAGACGUCUUUGAGCAAAUUCAUUCAAAUGCUUAUCGUAGCUACAAAUGACAACCCUGUCGGAGAAGAGCAAACCAAAUUUCUCCUUUUUUUUUUGAGUUCGUUUUCAAAUGAAAAACGACACGAUUCAUUUGAUGUUUGAAAAAAAUGUAUUCACGCUUCCCAUCGCUGUUUGCGUCACGACAUUUUUCUUUCUCUCUUCUUCUGCCCCCCCUCAAUUUAUAGGUACUGACAAAAUGGCGCAUGUUUCGGUAGGCGAAAAUACAACGAGCCUUGACCCCCAUAUGGCGCAACAGUUGAGUGUGGCAAACUCAGGCGGCAAUACGUCGAGCUUUAAUAACUCUUUCCCUUUAACAUUGGCAUUCCAUAUUUAAAUUUUAUCACAUUUCCCCUCGUUUCGUUUCGUUUUUUUUUUCUUUUUAACUAGCGGAGCGUGAAGAGACGCUUACUGUUGAAUCCGUGACGCCACCGACGCCAUGCCCAGCCUCCAUCGUUAAAAUAAGAGGGGGGGAAGGAGCAACCCAAAAAAUAAAGAAUUCAAAUUUGCCCAAGUCCCGACUAUAAUCAAUAGCUUGUCCAAUUUUUCCUUUUUUCUCUUUUCCAUUUUCAAAAAUCCAUUUCACAUUUCCUCCUUAAAAGGUUUCCACACACAAAAUGUUUGGUUUGGUUUUUUUUUUUUAAAAGGGCGCUCGCUAAAAUCGUACGUCUCAUCAUCAAUUUGCGUUGCGUGAAUGCAACAAAAAGGGGCCGUGAUCAUAUUGGAUCGAGUCCAGCCGCUAUAGGCGUGCAUCAUUCACCUUCAAAUAAAAACGUUCUUCUUUUCUUUUGUUUUGCGUGCUCGCCAUUUUAGACUGGGACACGUGGGCUUUCAACUCUCGACCCGAAUCCUUCGCGUCGUUUAGUGAACGGACGGACGGACGACGACGGCAUUCGACACGGGGCCCGAAGAAAUGCACAUCAACAUCGGACAUUUGAAAGAGGAGAAGAAGGAAGCGAUCCUCAUUGUCGGCAUGUCGUGCGCGAACGGCAGUGCGCGCCGCCUAUCGAGACUCCUUGACCGAUGCCAACAUUUCUUCAAACAAUACAAGUCGAUUCAUCAUCUUUGAAAUGAA